UCGAGGAUCUUCUGCAAUGGGCGCAAGCCUGACAGAGCGACGCCGCGUGAGGGAUGAAGGCUUUCGGGUUGUAAACCUCUUUCGCCCAUUACGAAUUCCAGUCGGUUAAUAGCCGGUUGGUUGACAAAGGUGGGUAAAGAAGCACCGGCUAACUACGUGCCAGCAGCCGCGGUAAUACGUAGGGUGCAAGCGUUACUCGGAAUCACUGGGCGUAAAGGGUGCGUAGGCGGCUCAUUAAGUUGGAUGUGAA
rnacentral:rRNA from 1 species